UGGAAACCCUAAAACCAAUUCUCUCCGCCUCUUUGUUUCAAACUCACACACCCACACGCCGUGAACAACAACAGCGAUUGUUCUCUCCUCACUCUUCUGCUCGCGAUGAACACGAAACAUAGCAACAUAAUACUCUGUUCUCUCCACUCUCGAUUGUUUUCCGCCAUGACAGGAGCUCUUAGAACUCGGACGAACCCACACACCCACACGCCGUGAACAACAACAACGAAAUCCUCUCAACUGCGUCGCUCUCUAGCAAAAUCAAACAAAACGCAAACAGGAAAAACCCUAAUCCCCAAAUCAAACCCAACCCCAGGUAUACACUUUGCUCUUUAACUCGAUUCCUCCUCUUCAUUACUGUUCUUCGUGCUCAUCUCCUUCUUCUGCAUUUUCUUGUUCUGUUGUGUGUCUGCUGAUGUUGUAAUUUGGUGAGUCAUUUCAAUCUCUCUUCCUGAAACUUCUCCCAUCAGUUUCCUCUCUUCCCGAAACCACCGCUCUUCCUUCGUUAAACCACCUCUCUUCCUCCAUUUCCUCUCUUCGUUAAACCCUUUCCUCUCUUCCACCGUUUCAAUCUUGCUUCCUCUCUUUAUGGGUCUCCUCCAUUAAACCCUAAUCUUCUCUGUUUCUCCCUAAAUUUUCUCUGAAAAAAUCCCUAAUCUCCUUCAUCCCAAAAAAAUGUUCGAUUCUUCUUCAUCUUCGCCGUGACCGAGGAUCUUAGUCCAAAUAGGUUGAUGACUCUUCAACUGACUCGAUCGUUUCAUGGGGAAAAAACAAUAACACUUUUGUUGUUUUGAAUGCUACCGAUUUCGCGAAAUAUAUCUUGCCUAAGUAUUUUAAGCAUAACAACUUCUCAAGCUUUGUCAGGCAGUUGAACACAUAUCCUCUAUUUCAUGAUGGGAUGAAAUAAUGGAGUUGCUGCAAGAAAAGAAGUCAUGAUUUUAGCUUGUUUUUGGAAAUUCCAGGACACUUGCUGAAGGGGCAAUGGUUGGUUACACUGAGAAAGGAAUGCAAAAUUCUCAAGAUAUACUAGUAAGGAUGAAUGAAAGAAACUUUUUGAAGUUUGAAGUUUGAAAAAUGAAAAAGCACUUACUGAUAAGCCAAGCUGUUCAAUAAGCUUCUCAACUCUCUGCCUCUUAUCAGCAACUGGCAAUGGCCCCAAUCUGAAAUCAGCAGCAAACAUCAAAGUUUCAUAGACAGUAAGCAUAUGCAAGUUUUGUGUCAACUCACAGGCUUAUGCUUUAUGUCAAUCACAGCUUCAUGACCUUUGCUUAUGCUGGUUUCUUAAAGGAAAAUGGUGAAACACUGGUGACUUGGAAAAGGGCAGCGUCCAUGGAUGAGGUUCUCCAGGAGGCUGAUAUAAUUAGUCUUCAUCCUAUCCUGGACAAAACCACUUAUCAUCUAGUCAACAAGGAAAGACUUGCCAAGAUGAAGAAGGAAGCAAUUCUUAUAAACUGCAGUAGAAGACCUGUUAUUGAUGAAUCAUUCGUUUUGAAAUUAUACUUGGCUCACUGAAGCAUGAAUUUGUGUGGUGCAUCGUUCAUUUUGAAAUUGUACUUGGCUCACAGAAGCAUGAAUUUUAGCUGCUCCUGUUACUUUUGAACUGAGUAUAUUAUGCAACUGUUUGGAUUGGAUAGAUUAU